rnacentral:rRNA from 1 species
CCUACGGGUGACAGCAGUGAGGGAUAUUGGUCAAUGGGGGAAACCCUGAACCAGCAACGCCGCGUGAGGGAAGACGGUUUUUGGAUUGUAAACCUCUGUCCUCUGUGAAGAUAAUGACGGUAGCAGAGGAGGAAGCUCCGGCUAACUACGUGCCAGCAGCCGCGGUAAUACGUAGGGAGCAAGCGUUGUCCGGAUUUACUGGGUGUAAAGGGUGCGUAGGCGGCUUUGCAAGUCAGAAGUGAAAUCCAUGGGCUUAACCCCGGCCUGCCGUCGGAACUGGGUGCCUUGAGUGGGCGAGAAGUAUGCGGCAUGCGUGGUGUAGCGGUGAAAUGCAUAGAUAUCACGCAGAACCCCGAUUGCGAAGGCAGCAUACCGGCGCCCUACUGACGCUGAGGCACGAAAGUGCGGGUAUCGAACAGGAUUAGAUACCCUUGUAGUC